AUUGAACGCUGGCGGCAUGCCUUACACAUGCAAGUCGAACGGUAACGGGCCUUCGGGUGCCGACGAGUGGCGAACGGGUGAGUAAUACAUCGGAACGUGCCCGAUCGUGGGGGAUAACGAGGCGAAAGCUUUGCUAAUACCGCAUACGAUCUACGGAUGAAAGCAGGGGACCGCAAGGCCUUGCGCGGACGGAGCGGCCGAUGGCAGAUUAGGUAGUUGGUGGGAUAAAAGCUUACCAAGCCGACGAUCUGUAGCUGGUCUGAGAGGAUGAUCAGCCACACUGGGACUGAGACACGGCCCAGACGCCUACGGGAGGCAGCAGUGGGGAAUUUUGGACAAUGGGCGCAAGCCUGAUCCAGCCAUGCAGCGUGCGGGAUGAAGGCCUUCGGGUUGUAAACUGCUUUUGUACGGAACGAAAAGCCUUCUUUUAAUACAGGAGGGUCAUGACGGUACCGUAAGAAUAAGCACCGGCUAACUACGUG
rnacentral:rRNA from 1 species